UUUUAUUCUAUUUCUUUUCCCCUCGUGCGGGUCCUCGCUCGGGUUCUUCGGCUUGGUCGGGGUAUUCAGGAAGGGGUCUCACACAGACUCCAUCAGAAUCAUCCACCCCACACUAUCUCAGGAUUUUCCAUCGACAGGCUCGUCUACAUCACGCCAUUACUGGACAGUUAAUGUGAUAGGAAAAAUUUAAUGUUGACGAAGGACAUGUGAAGAAUUUCAUUUUGAGAAACAUUGGAAAAAAAUGGAAGGAUAAUAGAUGCAAGUUAUACCACGAGUACUAUGAUCCCACUAUUGGUUGAGAGGCAAAUCUUUUAAAACAUCCACCAGGAAUCUCACAAGACUAGUGGGCAAGUUUCAUUGAUUAUCGUGCACGCGAGAAAACUAAGAUAUUUAAGAGAUGUGUCUACAAAAUAGUGAAAAUCGAUCCAAAUUGACAAUCCCACACACUGGAGGAUCAAAGAGUCUAGCAAGAAAAAAACAUGAGAUGGAAAUUGAGAGUGGUCAGCCAGUGAGUAGGGGUUUAUUAUACAUCAUGACACAUAAGAAGAAAGACGGAUCCUUUGUGAAUGAAGGAGCACGAACUAUAAGCGGAAUGAUGAUAAGGAAAUUAAUGUGAGUGCCACUGUUGUGUAAUUAGCUUGAUGAUGGCCAUAUCUUAUCUGUCAAUUCAUUUCUUUCACUUCACUUUGUUGUAAUGUUCAAAAUUUAUGACAUCAGUUGAUUUCCAAUUUGAUAGGGGAAUUUUAUGUCAAGUAGAAAAACAUCCAUAUUUAUAUAGAAAAAAUUUUGUGAGUUGAUUUGCUGGUGUUAAUCGGAGUUUUUUGUGAGUUGAUUUGCUAGUGUUUAGUUGUUAUUGAUAUUGUUUUUUAAUCCAUACAUAUACAGGACAAAACUUUUGACAUUGAGAGUCAAGGCACAUCUCCACAGUCAGUCUCCUUACACGAUUCACUUGCUCAAGUGCUAGGAAAAGAACACUCAGGCCGAGUCCAAAUCAAGUUUUUGGGACCGCUAAUCAAUUAAAUGGGAUAUCUUCAUCUUCCAAUAAUACCAGUCCAUCAUGUCAAGAACAAGUGAACUUUUUGACAGAAGAAUUACGAACUAAUAAACAAAAGGUUCAAAGUUCAGAGUCGCAGCUACAAAAUUUUCAAGGUGUAGUGAGUUUUCUUUUGACAAACGUUGUGGCGAAUAUACCACCUGAGAUUGUUGCAAUGCUCAAUUCAAUGCACCGGAUGCGAAUACUGGACAAGCUUCACCAGCGGGAAGGCGGUCUUCGAUAUCUAGUCAUAACAUUCAUGAUCCACCACAACUUCCAGACCAACAAAAUUGAUGUAUUGUUAAAAUAUUUG